rnacentral:rRNA from 1 species
UAGGGAAUCUUCCGCAAUGGGCGAAAGCCUGACGGAGCAACGCCGCGUGAGUGAUGAAGGUCUUCGGAUCGUAAAACUCUGUUAUUAGGGAAGAACAAAUGUGUAAGUAACUAUGCACGUCUUGACGGUACCUAAUCAGAAAGCCACGGCUAACUACGUGCCAGCAGCCGCGGUAAUACGUAGGUGGCAAGCGUUAUCCGGAAUUAUUGGGCGUAAAGCGCGCGUAGGCGGUUUUUUAAGUCUGAUGUGAACGCCCACGGCUCAACCGUGGAGGGUCAUUGGAAACUGGAAAACUUGAGUGCAGAAGAGGAAAGUGGAAUUCCAUGUGUAGCAGUGAAAUGCGCAGAGAUAUGGAGGAACACCAGUGGCGAAGGCGACUUUCUGGUCUGUAACUGACGCUGAUGUGCGAAAGCGUGGGGAUCAAACAGG